GAUUGAUGCAUGCUCAGCUGACUGGGGACUAUGAGUAUGGAAAACCAUUUUGCAGAAUUAGGAAUGUGCAGCUGAAAGUGGUCAAAGAUCAAAGGCCAAGACUGAUGUCAGCUUGAAAGAAACCACUCUGUGCAUUGGAUUUGCUAGAUAAAAGAUGAUGAAUUAAUGCACCAGUUUCAAGUCCAAAGAUCGAAAAGCACCAUUUAGGUCAAGGUCAACUCCAAAUAUUGGUUAAAACCUAAUUUGUACCAACAACUGAUUCCAGAAGAGGACACCCAUAAAAUAGCUAAACAGAGCUUGGCAAUAAAUGACACCUCUACCAGUUGCGGAAUCACCGCCCAUGUAUAGAGAGUAUUUUUGAUGUGUAAAGAAAGAGAUCUUCACUGAAUUAGUUUUACAUAGAAAUGAUAGAAUGUAAUCUUCUCAGAUUAAGCUGUAAGCUUAAGAGAGCUUUUCUGAUCAUCCAUUGUGCAGCAUCUGUUUGUCUAUAUACUGUAAUCAUUUUAGACUUCUUCUUGAGAACCACUGGUUUCCCCCUUCCAAGAGUAGAUUAUCAAGAAGGGCAAAAAUGGGGUGGAUGAAGGGAUUAUUUAAAAAUCUUCUCAAGAACAUCUUGGCCAAAAAGAUGAAAGGUUUAUGACAAAAGAUAGUGUGAAUUCUGAAUUUUUCAAAUUGUGGCGCCCAUGGGUAAGCUACAAUUGAUCAUUGAUUAAUGAAGUUAA